rnacentral:siRNA from 1 species
UCCGGGCUAGAAGCGACGCAUGC